rnacentral:rRNA from 1 species
CUUAGUGGCGAACGGGUGAGUAACGCGUGAGUAACCUGCCCUGGAGUGGGGGGAAACAGUUGGAAACGACUGCUAAUACCGCAUAAGCCCACGGCCCGGCAUCGGGCUGAGGGAAAAGGGAUUUAUUCGCUUCAGGAUGGACUCGCGUCCAAUUAGCUAGUUGGUGAGGUAACGGCCCACCAAGGCGACGAUUGGUAGCCGGACUGAGAGGUUGAACGGCCACAUUGGGACUGAGACACGGCCCAG